UAGGGAAUCUUCGGCAAUGGGGGGAACCCUGACCGAGCAACGCCGCGUGAGUGAAGAAGGUUUUCGGAUCGUAAAGCUCUGUUGUUAAGGAAGAACGAGUGUGAGAAUGGAAAGUUCAUACUGUGACGGUACUUAACCAGAAAGGGACGGCUAACUACGUGCCAGCAGCCGCGGUAAUACGUAGGUCCCGAGCGUUGUCCGGAUUUAUUGGGCGUAAAGCGAGCGCAGGCGGUUAGAUAAGUCUGAAGUUAAAGGCAGUGGCUCAACCAUUGUAGGCUUUGGAAACUGUUUAACUUGAGUGCAGAAGGGGGGGAUGGAAUUCCGUGUGUAGCGGUGAAAUGCGUAGAUAUAUGGAGGAACACCGGUGGCGAAGGCGGCUCUCUGGUCUGUAACUGACGCUGAGGCUCGAAAGCGUGGGGAGCGAACAGG
rnacentral:rRNA from 1 species